rnacentral:rRNA from 1 species
GCCUAUCACCAUUCCAGAUUGAAUAUACCCGAUCUCGUCUGAUCUCGGAAGUCAAGUAAUCUCGGGCUUGGUUAGUACUUGGAAAUGGGGGAACCGCUUUGGGGAAUACCCAAGGGGUGGAUAAGCC